GGGUGUGUAGUAUAGUUGGUUAUUGCGCUCGCUUCGCACUUCCGGAUUUUGCGAGAGGGCUGGAGUUCGACUCUCCACUCGUCCA